rnacentral:lncRNA from 1 species
UUAAGGAAAGAUAAUUUUGUCAAACAAUAUGCUAUUAUUCUGUGGAAUGCAGGACACCUGCUAGGACAGUAAUGAUAUAUGAAGAGGAUAAAUAUAAAAACAGGAAAGACUCUAAUCAGGAUACAGAAUUUUCAGGCACAGCUAGCAGCUAGGAAGGUCCUACUUGUCUGAGGCUACAAGCAUGAAACAGAGCAGGUCAAGAUAAGAGGGAGACUUACCACCAUGCUGCAAAUCUUGUUAUGCACAAUUAUUUUAUUAUUUUAUUUUAUUUUAUUUUAUUUUAUUUUAUUUUAUUUUAUUUUAUUUUAUUUUAU